AUAUUUACCCGGCAGGGAGAUACCCUGAUUACAAGGUGGUUUUCUUGGGAUCAGUUCACCGUUGCUUUCUGAAUGUGCUGACCCCUGUGAUUUCUCCAAGGAAACUCAAUUGCAUAAUCUGUGAUAGUGGGGGCUUGUAUUCAUACUGUCCCCUG
rnacentral:snRNA from 1 species